rnacentral:rRNA from 1 species
GACGAACGCUGGCGGCGUGCUUAACACAUGCAAGUCGAACGGAAAGGCCCCUUUGUGGGUACUCGAGUGUCGAACGCGUGAGUAACACUUGAGUAACAGUCCCUUGACUUCGGGAUAACUUCAGGAAACUGGGACUAAUACCGGAUAUGAAUCCUUGCUGUAUGGUCGGGGUGGGAAAGCGUCGGCGGUUUUGGGUGGACUGGCGGCUUAUCAGCUUGUUGGUGGGGUAGUGGCUUACCAAGGCUCUGACGGGUAGGCGGCCUGGGAGGGGGAACGGCCAACUUGGGGAUGGGAUAAGGGCCCGAAUCCCAAGGGGGGGAGGCGGGGGGAAUAUUGGAACAAGGGGGGAAGCCCGAUGGAGCAAAGCCGGGGGGGGGAUGACGGGCUUCGGGUUGUAAACCGUUUUCAGCAGGGGCGGAGCUUGUGGUGACGGUACGUGCAGAAGAAGCACCGGCUAACUACGUG